ACUCAAAGGAAUUGACGGGGACCCGCACAAGCGGUGGAGCAUGUGGUUUAAUUCGAAGCAACGCGAAGAACCUUACCAAGCCUUGACAUCCCCCCGGAGCGGGGGCAACGCCCCGCGCCCUUCGGGGCGGGGGAGACAGGUGGUGCAUGGUUGUCGUCAGCUCGUGUCGUGAGAUGUUGGGUUAAGUCCCGCAACGAGCGCAACCCUUGUCCCCAGUAGCCAGCGGGAGAGCCGGGCACUCUGGGGAGACUGCCGGGGACAACCCGGAGGAAGGCGGGGACGACGUCAAAUCAUCAUGCCCCUUAUGGCUUGGGCUACACACGUGCUACAAUGGCGCGAACAGAGGGAGGCGAGCCCGCGAGGGGGAGCGAACCCCAGAAAGCGCGUCCCAGUUCGGAUUGCAGUCUGCAACUCGACUGCAUGAAGCCGGAAUCGCUAGUAAUCGCGGAUCAGCACGCCGCGGUGAAUACGUUCCCGGGUCUUGUACACACCGCCCGU
rnacentral:rRNA from 1 species